AUAGGUUCCCCAUGCCAAAUCCUCCUUCAGAAUAUCUGAUAUGUUCUCUGAAAUGACAAAGGCUUGCUCAGCAUCUUCAGGAAGAUUUCUUUCUUCUACUAGAACUGAACCCUUAAGAAACUUCCCAAGGUAAGGAACUAUAACAGAGAACAAAGCCAGAAGAAGACCUAAAACUUCCGUUCUUAGCUGCGCUGCGGUGAUGGCUGAUGGGUCUGAACCGAGAAAGUGAUUCAAUACCAAAAGAAAACCAAAUGCAUAGCCAAUGUAUCUCGGCAAAUAAGAUUCGUCCAAUCCCGGUAUUCCGAGAGUGAAACGAAGCACGGAAAGGUUAAGCUGUUGCUGUUGAGCAUUGGUGCUUUCCUUAGAAUUCUCAAGACGACUAUAGACUAUCAAUGAUGAUGACUUUCUGGUUUUCCGGCACCGGAAUUCCGACGGCCAUAUGGAUUUGCCGUAUCUUUUCACGGGAAACAAUGACGGCGUUAAUGAAUUCAACAACAGACAGGUAGAGCUCAUUUUCGGUAGCUUCCGUCUCCCUCCGGCAAACGGAUAAUGUCA
rnacentral:misc_RNA from 1 species